rnacentral:rRNA from 1 species
AAAUUGAAGAGUUUGAUCAUGGCUCAGAUUGAACGCUGGCGGCAGGCCUAACACAUGCAAGUCGAACGGUAACAGGAAGAAGCUUGCUUCUUUGCUGACGAGUGGCGGACGGGUGAGUAAUGUCUGGGAAACUGCCUGAUGGAGGGGGAUAACUACUGGAAACGGUAGCUAAUACCGCAUAACGUCGCAAGACCAAAGAGGGGGACCUUCGGGCCUCUUGCCAUCGGAUGUGCCCAGAUGGGAUUAGCUAGUAGGUGGGGUAACGGCUCACCUAGGCGACGAUCCCUAGCUGGUCUGAGAGGAUGACCAGCCACACUGGAACUGAGACACGGUCCAGACUCCUACGGGAGGCAGCAGUGGGGAAUAUUGCACAAUGGGCGCAAGCCUGAUGCAGCCAUGCCGCGUGUAUGAAGAAGGCCUUCGGGUUGUAAAGUACUUUCAGCGGGGAGGAAGGGAGUAAAGUUAAUACCUUUACUCAUUGACGUUACCCGCAGAAGAAGCACCGGCUAACUCCGUGCCAGCAGCCGCGGUAAUACGGAGGGUGCA